GAGGGAACUUUCCCAGGCCCCGAGGCGGAUCGGGUAUUGAGUCCAUGGAGCGAGCUGAGAGCUAGAGUACAGAACCUGCUAAGGCCAUCAAACCUAUCGAUCGGAAGUCAGUCCAUCAGAUUUGCUCUGGGCCGGUGGUACUGAGUCUAAGCACUGCGGUGAAGGAGUUAGUAGAAAACAGUCUGGAUGCUGGUGCCACCAAUAUUGAUCUAAAGCUUAAGGACUAUGGAGUGGAUCUCAUUGAAGUUUCAGACAAUGGAUGUGGGGUAGAAGAAGAAAACUUUGAAGGCUUAACGAUGUCACCAUUUCUACCUGCCACGCAUCGGCGAAGGUUGGGACUCGACUGGUGUUUGAUCACGAUGGGAAAAUCAUCCAGAAAACCCCCUACCCCCACCCCAGAGGGACCACAGUCAGCGUGAAGCAGUUAUUUUCUACACUACCUGUGCACCAUAAGGAAUUUCAAAGGAAUAUUAAGAAGACGUGCCUGUUUCCCCUUCGCCUUCUGCCGUGAUUGUCAGUUUCCUGAGGCCUCCCCAGCCAUGCUUCCUGUACAGCCUGCAGAACUGACUCCUAGAAGGACCCCACCCCCCUCCCCCAACCCCUGCUCCCAGGAGGACACGUGAUCACUGUAUUCAGCUCCAUCAAGAAUGGUCCAGGUUCUUCUAGAUGAUCUGCACAAAUGGUUCCUCUUCUCCUUCCUGGUGUCUGCCAUUAGCAUUGGAAUAAAGUUCCUGCUGAAAAUCCA